GACGAACGCUGGCGGCGUGCUUAACACAUGCAAGUCGAACGGAAAGGCCCUGCUUUUGUGGGGUGCUCGAGUGGCGAAAGGGUGAGUAACACGUGAGUAACCUGCCCUUGACUUUGGGAUAACUUCAGGAAACUGGGGCUAAUACCGGAUAGGAGCUCCUGCUGCAUGGUGGGGGUUGGAAAGUUCCGGCGGUUGGGGAUGGACUCGCGGCUUAUCAGCUUGUUGGUGGGGUAGUGGCUUACCAAGGCUUUGACGGGUAGCCGGCCUGAGAGGGUGACCGGCCACAUUGGGACUGAGAUAGGGCCCAGACUCCUACGGGAGGCAGCAGUGGGGAAUAUUGCACAAUGGGCGGAAGCCUGAUGCAGCAACGCCGCGUGCGGGAUGACGGCCUUCGGGUUGUAAACCGCUUUCGCCUGUGACGAAGCGUGAGUGACGGUAAUGGGUAAAGAAGCACCGGCUAACUACGUG
rnacentral:rRNA from 1 species